UUAAGCCGGAGGAAGUGGGGAUGACGUCAAGUCAGCAUGGCCUUUAUGUCCUGGGCUACACACACGCUACAAUGGCCAACACAAUAGGUUGCUAAGCCGCGAGGUGGAGCCAAUCCUCAAAGUUGGUCUCAGUUCAGAUUGCAGGCUGCAACCCGCCUGCAUGAAGAUGGAGUUGCUAGUAACCGCAGGUCAGCUAUACUGCGGUGAAUACGUUCCCGGGGCUU
rnacentral:rRNA from 1 species